UACGUAGGCAGCGAGCGUUGUUCGGAAUUACUGGGCGUAAAGAGUGUGUAGGCGGUGUUCCCAGUCUGUUGUGAAAUCUCCCGGCUUAACUGGGAGGGUGCAGCGGAAACUAGAAUGCUAGAGGGUGGGAGAGGUAAGCGGAAUUCCUGGUGUAGCGGUGAAAUGCGUAGAUAUCGGAAGGAACAUCAGUGGCGAAAGCGGCUUCCUGGACCAGAAACUGACGAUCAGGCUCGAAAGCGUGGGGAGCAAACAGG
rnacentral:rRNA from 1 species